GCCUGGGUGGCUCAGUUGGUUAAGCAUCCGACUGGGCUCAGGUCGUGAUCUCGUGGUUUGUGGGUUCGAGCCCCACGUCAGGCU
rnacentral:tRNA from 1 species